rnacentral:rRNA from 1 species
UACGUAGGCAGCAAGCGUUGUUCGGAAUUAUUGGGCGUAAAGAGUGUGUAGGCGGUGCUCUAAGUUUGGUGUGAAAUCUCCCGGCUCAACUGGGAGGGUGCGCCGAAAACUGGAAUGCUUGAACAUGGGAGAGGAAAGCGGAAUUCCUGGUGUAGCGGUGAAAUGCGUAGAUAUCAGGAGGAACACCUGCGGUGUAGACGGCUUUCUGGACCAUUGUUGACGCUGAGACACGAAAGCGUGGGUAGCAAACAGG